rnacentral:rRNA from 1 species
AUCAAUAAGCGGAGGAAGAGAAACCAACAGGAAUUCCCCCAGUAACGGCGAGCGAAGUGGGAUGAGCUCGAGCCUAAAAUCUCCGGUUCCCUGCCGGCGAAUUGUAGCCGAGAGAGGCAGUUGUGCUCCACGGUGGCUGGCCAAAGUUGACCUGGAAAGGCGCGUCAGAGAGGGUGAGAGCCCCGUACGUGGCCACGGCACUGUGGCUGCUCUGCUGUCUUUGGAGAGUCGGGUUGUUUGGGAAUGCAGCCCAAAGUGGGUGGUAAACUCCAUCUAAAGCUAAAUACGGGCACGAGACCGAUAGCAAACAAGUACCGUGAGGGAAAGGUGAAAAGCACUUUGAAAAGAGAGUCAAAGAGAACGCGAAACCGUUAGGAGGGAAACGAAUGCAGCCAGGCGUUGCCUCGUGUCAGGUUCAGGAAACGCCGAGUGUCGUCCUUGCUCGCCGGUGCCGCGUGUCGGAGGUGGGCUUGUGAGUCGGUGCACGGAUUAUCCGCAUUCCUGCGCGAGGCCGGCCAACGGGGGUCGUCGGUGGUGCCGAGAGGCGGCCGGGAGGUGCCUUUGUUUCUGUCGUAGCGACGAAGGCCGUACAGCCGUGCCUGCCUGUGUCUGCCGGCGGCCGAGGAGAGGGUCACGCUUGACCCAUCAGUGCAGGCCCUUCUGGGCCGGGCUUCCCCUGGUCGGGGGCUGGCGCCUGCAGGGACUGCCUCGGCAGUGCCUGUGAGGCAAGCUCGGGGCCCGACCGGGGGUGUAGUCACGACUGCGCUGCAGUCUGUU